GGAGGUAUAGCUCAGUGGUAGAGCACAUGCUUGGCCUGCGCAAGGUCCUGGGUUCAAUCCCCAGUGCGUCUG
rnacentral:tRNA from 1 species